rnacentral:rRNA from 1 species
UACGAAGGGGGCUAGCGUUGCUCGGAAUUACUGGGCGUAAAGGGCGCGUAGGCGGAUCGUUAAGUCAGAGGUGAAAGCCCAGGGCUCAACCCUGGAGUUGCCUUUGAUACUGGCGAUCUUGAGUACGGGAGAGGUGUGUGGAACUCCGAGUGUAGAGGUGAAAUUCGUAGAUAUUCGGAAGAACACCAGUGGCGAAGGCAACACACUGGCCCGUUACUGACGCUGAGGCGCGAAAGCGUGGGGAGCAAACAGG